rnacentral:tRNA from 1 species
GCACCCGUAGCUUAACUGGAUAGAGCGCGACCUUGCGGAGGUUGAAGUUGCGAGUUCGAGUCUCGCCGGGUGCA